UGAGGAAUAUUGGUCAAUGGGCGGGAGCCUGAACCAGCCAAGCCGCGUGGAGGGAAGAAGGCGCUCAGCGUCGUAAACCUCUUUAGCCGGGGAACAAAGAGCUGCUCGGGAAGCAGCGUUGAGCGUACCCGGAGAAUAAGCAUCGGCUAACUCCGUGCCAGCAGCCGCGGUAAUACGGAGGAUGCGAGCGUUAUCCGGAUUUAUUGGGUUUAAAGGGUGCGCAGGCGGACGCGCAAGUCUGCGGGUGCAAAAUUUCCGGGGGCCUCCAACCCCAGGACCGCCGUGGAAACUGUGCGACUGGAGUGGGCGAGAGGCAUGCGGAAUGCGCGGUGUAGCGGUGAAAUGCUUAGAGAUCGCGCAGAACUCCGAUUGCGAAGGCAGCAUGCCGGCGCCUUACUGACGCUCAUGCACGAAAGCGUGGGGAUCGAACAGGAUUAGAUACC
rnacentral:rRNA from 1 species